UAAGGUAGCGAAAUUCCUUGUCGGGUAAGUUCCGACCUGCACGAAUGGCGUAACGACUUCCCCGCUGUCUCAAAUGUGGACUCAGCGAAAUUGAAUUGUCUGUGAAGAUGCAGACUUCCCGCGGUUAGACGGAAAGACCCCAUGCACCUUUACUACAACUUCGCACUGGCAUCAGGAUUGCGAUGUGCAGGAUAGGCGGUAGGCUUUGAAGCGGGGACGCCAGUUCCCGUGGAGCCAUCCUUGAGAUACCGCCCUUCGCACUCUUGAUGUCUAACCGCGGCCCGUUAUCCGGGUCCGGGACCCUGCGUGGUGGGUAGUUUGACUGGGGCGGUCGCCUCCCAAACAGUAACGGAGGCGCGCGAAGGUUGGCUCAGAGCGGUCGGAAAUCGCUCGUUGAGUGCAAUGGCAGAAGCCAGCCUGACUGCAAGACUGACAAGUCGAGCAGAGUCGAAAGACGGCCAUAGUGAUCCGGUGGUCCCGAGUGGAAGGGCCAUCGCUCAACGGAUAAAAGGUACGCUGGGGAUAACAGGCUGAUGAUGCCCAAGAGUCCAUAUCGACGGCAUCGUUUGGCACCUCGAUGUCGGCUCAUCUCAUCCUGGGGCUGGAGCAGGUCCCAAGGGUAUGGCUGUUCGCCAUUUAAAGAGGUACGUGAGCUGGGUUUAGAACGUCGUGAGACAGUUCGGUCCCUAUCUGCCGUGGGUGUUGGAGACUUGAGAGGAGUUGCCCCUAGUACGAGAGGACCGGGGUGAACGUUCCACUGGUGGACCUGUUGUCGUGCCAACGGCAGUGCAGGGUAGCUAUGAACGGACAGGAUAAACGCUGAAGGCAUCUAAGCGUGAAGCCCCCCUCAAAACAAGGUCUCCCUUGAGAGCCGUGGAAGACCACCACGUCGAUAGGCCGGAGAUGUAAGUGCAGCAAUGCAUUCAGUUGACCGGUACUAAUG
rnacentral:rRNA from 1 species